rnacentral:rRNA from 1 species
GUGCCAGCCGCCGCGGUAAAACGUAGGAUCCGAGCGUUAUCCGAAUUUACUGGGCGUAAAGCGCGUGUAGGCGGUUCGGUAAGUUGGAUGUGAAAUCUCCUGGCUCAACUGGGAGAGGUCGUUCAAUACUGUCGGACUAGAGGGUGGUAGAGGGAGGUGGAAUUCCCGGUGUAGUGGUGAAAUGCGUAGAUAUCGGGAGGAACACCAGUGGCGAAAGCGGCCUCCUAGACCGCUCCUGACGCUCAGACGCGAAAGCUAGGGGAGCAAACGGGAUUAGAUACCCCCGUAGUCC